rnacentral:snoRNA from 1 species
AUGCAUCUGGCAGACCUGGGGCAACUGGCCAUUGCUCCUCUGGUUCUUGCCGAGAUGCAACAGCAACGGGUCCCUUGCGCUUUCUGCCUGUCUGACCUCGUGGCAGUCCGGAUUGAAUAAAGGAAGACAAAA